rnacentral:rRNA from 1 species
AUGCAACCUACCUUCCACUGGGGGAUAGCCCACCGAAAGGUGGAUUAAUACCGCAUAUGACCACGAGAGGGCAUCCGACCGUGGUAAAAGCUGAGGCGGUGGAAGAUGGGCAUGCGUGCCAUUAGCUAGUUGGCGGGGUAAAGGCCCACCAAGGCGACGAUGGCUAGGGGUUCUGAGAGGAUGGUCCCCCACACUGGUACUGAGACACGGACCAGACUCCUACGGGAGGCAGCAGUAGGGAAUAUUGGGCAAUGGCCGAGAGGCUGACCCAGCCAUGCCGCGUGCAGGAAGAAGGCCUUCUGGGUUGUAAACUGCUUUUACCAGGGAAGAAAACGCGCCUGCGGGCGUAACUGACGGUACCUGGUGAAUAAGCACCGGCUAACUCCGUGCCAGCAGCCGCGGUAAUACGGAGGGUGCAAGCGUUGUCCGGAUUUAUUGGGUUUAAAGGGUGCGUAGGCGGCCCGUUAAGUCAGCGGUGAAAUCCCAGGGCUCAACCCUGGAACUGCCGUUGAUACUGGCGGGCUUGAGUUCGGUCGAGGCGGGCGGAACUGGUGGUGUA